CCUACGGGUGGCAGCAGUGAGGAAUAUUGGUCAAUGGGCGCGAGCCUGAUCCAGCCACGUCGCGUGAAGGAUGACUGCCCUACGGGUUGUACACUUCUUUUAUAAAGGAAUAAAGUUAGGCACGUGUGCCUUUUUGUCUGUACUUUAUGCAUUAGGAUCGGCUAACUCCGUGCCAGCAGCCGCGGUAAUACGGAGGGUCCGAGCGUUAUCCGGAUUUAUUGGGUUUAAAGGGAGCGUAGAUGGGUUGUUAAGUCAGUUGUGAAAGUUUGCGGCUCAACCGUAAAAUUGCAAUUGAUACUGGCAGUCUUGAGUACAGUUGAGGUAGGCGGAAUUCGUGGUGUAGCGGUGAAAGGCUUAGAUAUCACGAAGAACUCCGAUUGCGAAGGCAGCUUACUAAACUGCCACUGACAUUGAUGCUCGAAAGUGUGGGUAUCAAACAGGAUUAGAUACCCGGGUAGUC
rnacentral:rRNA from 1 species